rnacentral:rRNA from 1 species
UUUAACUGAGCGUUCAGUUACUUGACGUAGACCCGAAACCGGGCGACCUACCCAUGAGCAGGAUGAAGCGAAAGUAAAAUUUCGUGGAGGUCCGAACCCACGAGCGUUGAAAAGCUCGGGGAUGACUUGUGGGUAGCGGUGAAAUUCCAAUCGAGCCCGGAGAUAGCUGGUUCUCCCCGAAAUAGCUUUAGGGCUAGCCUCAAGGUGAGAGAUACGGAGGUAGAGCACUGAAUGUCCUAGGGGGUAUUGCACCUACCGAAGACUAUCAAACUCCGAAUGCCGUCAUCUUAUACUUGGGAGUCAGACUGUGGGUGAUAAGAUUCAUAGUCGAAAGGGCAACAGCCCAGAUCGUCAGCUAAGGUCCCUAAAUGUAAGUUAAGUGGUAAAGGAUGUGGGAUUGCACAGACAACCAGGAUGUUGGCUUAGAAGCAGCCACUCAUUCAAAGAGUGCGUAAUAGCUCACUGGUCGAGUGAUCCUGCGCCGAAGAUUUCCGGGGCUAAAACUUACUACCGAAGCUACGGCAUCAGUAAUGAUGGGUAGGGGAGCUUCCCAUACGGGUUGAAGCAUGACCGUAAGGACAUGUGGACAGUAUGGGAGUGAGAAUGUUGGCAUGAGUAGCGAGAUGUGGGUGAGAAUCCCACAGGCCGUAAACCCAAGGUUUCCAGGGGAAGGUUCGUCCGCCCUGGGUUAGUCGGGACCUAAGCUGAGGCCGAAAGGCGUAGGUGAUGGACAACAGGUUGAUAUUCCUGUACUACCGAUAACCGUUUGAGAGAUGGGAUGACACAGUAGGAUAAGCUAAGCACACUGUUGGUUAUGUGUGCCCAAGCAUUGAGGCAGUCAAAGUAGGUAAAUCCGCUUUGAUAAUGCUGGGAUGUGAUGGGGAGCGAAAUUUAGUAGCGAAGUAGCUGAUUUCACACUGUCAAGAAAAGUCUCUAUCGAGGUUAAAGGUACCCGUACCGCAAACCGACACAGGUGGGUGAGGAGAGUAUCCUAAGGCCAGCGAGAGAACUGUUGUUAAGGAACUCGGCAAAAUGACCCCGUAACUUAGGGAUAAGGGGUGCCACCAUCAGGUGGCCGCAGAGAAUAGGCCCAAGCGACUGUUUACCAAAAACAUAGGUUUCUGCUAAGUCGCAAGACGAUGUAUAGGAGCUGACGCCUGCCCGGUGCUGGAAGGUUAAGGGGAUCUGUUAGAGCAAUCGAAGCAGUGAACUUAAGCCCCAGUAAACGGCGGCCGUAACUAUAACGGUCCUAAGGUAGCGAAAUUCCUUGUCGGGUAAGUUCCGACCCGCACGAAAGGCGUAACGAUUUGGGCACUGUCUCAACAACAGACUCGGUGAAAUUGUAAUUCCGGUGAAGAUGCCGGAUACCUGCGACAGGACGGAAAGACCCCAUGGAGCUUUACUGUAGCUUGACAUUGGGUCUUGGUACUACAUGUACAGGAUAGGUGGGAGGCUUUGAAACCAGGACGCCAGUUUUGGCGGAGCCAUCCUUGGGAUACCACCCUUGUAGUACUGGGACUCUAACCAUAGGCCAUGAAUCUGGUCUUGGGACACUGUCAGGUGGGCAGUUUGACUGGGGCGGUCGCCUCCCAAAAGGUAACGGAGGCGCUCAAAGGUUCUCUCAGUACGGUCGGAAAUCGUACGUAGAGUGUAAAGGCAAAAGAGAGCUUGAUUGCAAGACAUACAGGUCGAGCAAGGAUGAAAAUCGGACUUAGUGAUCCGGUGGUUCUGCGUGGAAGGGCCAUCGCUCAACGGAUAAAAGCUACCCUGGGGAUAACAGGCUUAUCUCCCCCAAGAGUCCACAUCGACGGGGAGGUUUGGCACCUCGAUGUCGGCUCAUCACAUCCUGGGGCUGUAGUAGGUCCCAAGGGUUGGGCUGUUCGCCCAUUAAAGUGGUACGCGAGCUGGGUUCAGAACGUCGUGAGACAGUUCGGUCCCUAUCCGUCGCAGGCGUAGGAAAUUUGAGAAGACCUGUCCUUAGUACGAGAGGACCGGGAUGGACGUACCUCUGGUGUACCAGUUGUC